GCCAGAACACAUCAUCAGAUUCGUAUUUGUGCAAGGGAAGGACUUCGCUGUAGCCGCUUAUAUUAACAAAAUGAAUAAAUACAAGUUGACAAUGCUCAUGGGUCGCAACAUGACUCCAAAGCGAAUAAUACUAUCAGAGUUUGAGGGUUUUGUGGUAAAUUUAGGGCUGAACCGAACAGACAUCAUCCGCCCUAAAUGUGAUGAUUCCUGUGAGCUGUCCAUUGAAACUUAGUGCAUGGAGAAGCACCACAGAGUCUGCACAGGACCUUGAAUCUGGGACCACUGCACUUACCCUGUCAUCCUGUACAUACCUGUUACAAUUCUAGGUGUCAAGAGAAGGCAGACCAUACAUCCACACCCCUCAUGUCUCAGCUUUCAGUAAAAGUCUUCUGUA